CGGGGCGUUGCCAUGGCAACGCGCCGGAUCUAGCGAGAGGAACCCGGCGGAGCUGCAAGAUAGAGAUCCGCCGGGGUCUCUCCCUCACUCCCCAGCCGCAGGUCUGUUUAAAUGGGCCGGUGAGGGAGAUCUUUGAUCUCCCCACCGGUCCUUCAUGGCAAACAGCGGGGCCGGCGCUCGGAUAGUGCCGGCUCUGCAUAGACCGGCAGGGGAUGUCCUGGGACCUCCCCUGCCGGCCUCGGCCCAUG